AGUAGUUAGUGAGGACAACAAGUUAGUGAUGGUAGUUAGCAGUGCUAGUUGGUUAUGUUGGUUAGGACACCCUGUUUGUUACAGUUCUUAUGACAGCCUGUUUGGCAUGGCAGUUUUUUGAAUAAAAACUCUGUUAAACCUCAACUCCCUUGGCGUGUCCCUUCCUCCUCCCUCUGUGACUCAGCUGCCCGGAGCAAUGUGAGGGGAGAGCGGGCCCAGCCUCGCCCAGAGCUGAGCCCCAGCAGAGCCCUGGCAGAGCCCAGAGCAGCCGGGGCAUCUGCAGAGUCAGCCUGGGAGGAGGCGCUCGGAGCCUUCUCGGCUGCACCGACUCUUGGGUACAAACUGCGUGUGCUGGAAAAUGCCCCCGGCUCGGCCAGAGGGCAGAAGGGGCCCGGGGAAGGCCCCAGUGCUCCCUGCAAGGGAAACACCUGCCCUGGGUUUGUUAUAAAGGACUAUGUAGUUGUGGCUUUUGCUGUGAUGUCUUGGCUUCUGCAACUUAUUCUUAAUCGCAACGAUUUAGAUACAGUACAGCUUGUAAUCACUUUUAACUGCUUUUGCUGUAGUAUAAUUUGUCAGCUUUUUGUGGUCAAUGCCCUGGCCCCUGUGUAGCUCAUAUCCUCAGAACAUCAUUCAUGGAUGAUAGUUUAGUUUGUGCACAGUGUGAAAAACAUACAUGAUAGUUUUGGCUUUUACAAAAUAUUGAAGUGGAUGCCAUGUGUUGUGCAUUAGAAUGUUAACUUUUGCAGAAGUAGCUGUAGUUGUGAAAUAAUAACUAAUGCUUUUCUUUUUGUAACUAACUGACAGUAAUAACUCAGAGAUAUUUGUGAAACAGCCAAUGUUGAUUUAAAGUACUUGUGGAAGUAGCUAAGACCGUCUGCAUGGCCAGAUAACGUUUAAGGAACGGGUGUGAUGAGGACCCUGCCGCUGACCCUUCGACUGUCAGUAACUGUCGCCUGCUGAUGUGGAAACCCAGGGCACCGGGAAUAUUUCUCUGUCUGCUCUGGGGUGUCCUGACCCCCAGGGGAGCACUGACUUUGACCCUCAUUCAUGGAGAAAACUUCCAAAGCUUCAAAGUAAGCUAGAAACCACAAAAGUGUGAAAUAGAUUGUAGAGAUUGCAGAGAGUAGUGGAGUAUGUCAUAUGGGUGAAAAAUUUAGGUUUUAGAAUUUUUAGUAUGUUAUAGAUGGGUUCAAGAUGGAGGAUAUAGGGUGUUGUCUUGAGUUCCCUUCUUCUUUCUUCUUCUUCUUCUCUUUCUUUUUGGGUUUAUGUGGUAUCCUGUAAUUGGGUAGAAUAAUCUGCAUUGUGGGUCUUUAGGGGUCAGUUACUGGGUUAGAAAGAAAACUAAUUUAGGUGUCACUUCUUAAUUGGGUAGCUUAGUUUUUGAUUAGACUUACAAGGCCUUGUAACAAGAGAUUGUUGGCCAUUUUUGUGCUGUUUUCCUGCACGCAGAGUCUGGUGCAGACAGUGUGCUGAAGUUUUGAUAACAAUAAACAGAAGCUGAAGACCGAAAAAGUCCAAUGCAGCUCUGGUUCCUGACACAGAACUGCUCCAGGAGGGUCCCCCUGCCAGGGGAGCCGCCAGGGAGUUGCCCAACUUGGGGCCCGCAAACUCCCAGCUGAAUCGGGGAUCAGGGGCUGUUGUGAGGAAGUGACACACAACCCUCAAAACAACAAUCCAUGAUUCCUGCACGGACUCUAGAAAGGCGGGUUGGGGGUCAAACCAAAAGAGUUCCUGGAAGAAGUAAAUGAGUUCAAAGAAAUGUUUGAAUGUGUAUAAUCUUUAUGAAUAUGUUUUUGGACAAUACAAUGGAAAAAGUAGAUAAGAAGAGUUGCUAUGGCUAACCAGUGUGCCUCUGGCCAUUGCCAAGCACCCAGCGCUGUUAUUGAUUUGUCUCUAAUUAUCCCUUCUUAAAGUUUUAAAAAUCGUCUUGCUCAUUUUGCCCCUCUUUGGCUUCUUCUCCAGGAGCAGAGGGAGCCGGGGCAGAGACCGCUGUUCCUUCUGCCAUCUGCGGCAAGAGAGAAGCAUGAGGGACAGGCCGUUACCUCUCAUUUAUAACCUCGUUCCUCCUCGGAUCCACAAAUACCACUUCCAAGGAGAAAUCAGCAACUCUGUUAGCGAUGGGAUUCUAAGUGACUCUGACCAGAUUAAAGUGGGUUAACUCAACAGAACUCUAUUUGAUGAACUCUAUGAAUUUGAUAGUCCUCCCUGGCUGCUAUCAGCAAGCAGCGGUGCCUCUGCACAAUGCAGCUUUUAGCUCUUGAAAACUAUGAAAUGGAAAAGUCAGAGAUAGCCAGCACGGACUUUGUUAUUGCUGCGGCAGACAAGGAAAACUCAAACUGGAUCAGAAUCCCAUGCAGUGCACGAAAAGGGCAGGAAAGAUUGCGCAGACGCCUCUUUGUUUGCUGGAAAGAGGGAAAAUGAGCAGGGCUUCUCCUCCUAGCAAACCAACAAACCACAAGUCGGAAGUGUCCCCUCCUCAGGUGGCUAAAGCACUUGGAUGCAGUGAGGGCAUGUCUGGCAGGGAAACAGCCCUGGUGGUGAGCACUGCCAUGUAUGGAUCCAUGGAUCUGAAGGUCCCUCACAAGCCUCCCGUUGUCCAGGCUAAAGCUCCCUCAGCACCUCCUCCUUGGCGUUGCGCUCCACAGCCUUCCCCAGCUCCCGUGUCCUUCUCUGCACACGCUCCAGCCCCUCGAGGACUUUCUGCUUCAGAGGGGCCCACAAGUGGACACAGCACUCCCAGCCAUGGCCGCAGCGCUGCCCAGCCCAGGGGGACGGUCACUGCCCUGCUCCUGCUGCCCCACUGCUGCUGACACAGGCCAGGGCAUCCUUGGCCUUCUUGGCCACCUGGCCACACACUGGCCCACCUUCAGCUGCUCGUGACCGGCACCCCUGCGUCCUUUUGGCCCACGCAGGUCCCCCACCACAAAGUUGCCCCCUUGACUUCAAAUACAGCAUCCCCAGUUCCAAGAUGUCCUUCCUCUUCUCAGCAACACAAGACAGCAGUCAAGGACUUGCAGCUUCCCCCCCACCCUAGGCACUAAUGCCAUUCUCAAAGCUGCAGGCUGUGUGCAGCUGUCCCUGCAGGAUGGCCCCAGGGCAGAGCCCAGCCGGGCUCCCCCUGCAGCCCCUGAAGCUUGGGGCAGGCAGUGGUCCCAGAGCUGAGGUUCACGGGGAGCACCCGCAGCUGUGCCUCGCACUCUGUUGCCGUGUCACCGUGCAGGCUGGCUUGUACGGGGUGAAUGUACCAGCCCUGGUUUGACUGACAGGGGCCUGGCCCAUCACAGCUCUCCCAAGGCUGCAGGCAUUCCCCAGGCCAGAAUCUGAAGGGGCACAGAGAUCAGACCAGUGAAAUCAUCCAGACUGGGUUUUUCAAAGGCCCUUUAGAAGGAAGGGCUUGAGAAUAAACGUGCUCUGUUUGCCACAGGAACAUCGGGGUGAGUGGUCUCUUUGGCUCCAACCCACUUUCCUCCCGGAGCCAACGUUACCCACUCCCUCACACGUCCCCCCCGUGCCUUCCCACUGCCUUGUCCUGUCAGGGCUUCCGCAGCCCCUCAUCCCUUCGUGGCCCCGUCCCCUCAGGCUCUCCCCAGCCCGGCCAACCUGCCCGGCAGCAGCGCCGCAGCCCCACAGGAGCUCCAGAGGAGCCCAUCCAGAGGCACCUGGGAGCCCUCAGCAAUCCAGGCAGCAACACACGGGCAGGAGGACACGGAUGGCGCUUCCUGCCUGGGACAGGGCUUGUGGCCAUCUCCAGGCACCGCUCUCACAGAGAUCCCCACAGCUCCAGCCCCUGCCCAUCUGCUCUGUGGGCAGCACAAAGGCUUUGGCAGAACCACCAAAGGCCAAGGGGCUUCUGGCCAUUUUCCCUGCAACCCUGCAUGCCUGGGCAGCUUGCUGAGCCAGGGAUCCCUUUUGUCCCUCUUCCCCUAGGCCCUGCAGAACCUGGGCAGCAAAAGAAAGAUCCUGGGAGUCUGUCUAUUAAAACACAUCCUAUAUUU
rnacentral:lncRNA from 1 species